AUAAGGAGCGAAAUAUUCUUAAGCCAUAACAGAAUACCCUCGGUUAUAAAAAGGGAUAAGUUAAGAGAGAAAGGGAUUGGCUCACGAAACCCUUUCUCCCUCUUGUGCGCGCGACGGCUCUCGGGCGAAGAAGGCGGCGGAGCUAGGGUUCUCUCCCUCCGGCGGCCGGCGAAGGCUUUUUCCGGCCGGUCUUCACCGUACGUGACCACCUCGAUGAGGAGAGCUCAGAAACACAAAGAAGCCGCCGAAACUCAAGCUUCUCCGCGAACCCUAGAGCCUCCCUCUUUUCGGUUGUGAGUUCAAGGAGCAAGAUCAAAGAAAGGAAAAGCUAUAGGAAAGGAAGGCGACAAGGAGAUGCAAGAGAAGUGUGUGAUGUCUGGACUAUGGAGAGAUCUGGGAAUUGCUAAGAAUUUAUUAAGAUUGCUUCCGCUAAAUUGUUAAGAGAACUUAGAACUUGUACUUGUAAAUCUUUGGUUCGUUUUAUCGUGCAUUGCUAGAGUUGCUUCUUUUA